AUGGCGCGGUGAAUACGUUCCCGGGCCUUGUACACACCGCCCGUCAAGCCAUGGGAGCCGGGGGUACCUGAAGUCCGUAACCGCGAGGAUCGGCCUAGGGUAAAACUGGUGACUGGGGCUAAGUCGUAACAAGGUAGCCGUACCGGAAGGUGCGGCUGGAACACCUCCUUUCUGGAGCUU
rnacentral:rRNA from 1 species